UCAUGGAGAGAGUUUGUCCCUUUUUUGUCCUUUUGCCUUCUGCCAUAUAAGGACACAGAAUUCCUCUCCAGAAGUAGUAGUUAAGAUGCCUUCUUGGAAGCAGAGACCAACUGCUUAGAAGCAGAGACCUCACAAGACAACAAACCUGCCAGCACCUGUGCCUUGAUCUCGAAAUUUGCAGCCCCAGAACGAUUAUUUCUGUCUGGUGAAACUGAUCAUUCCAGAGCAGGCAGCAGUCGGGGGCAACACAAUGACUAACACAAUAUUCGAAAGGAGCAUGCUGGCUCCAUUUGAGGAUAACAUCCACUCCAUCAGAGAACUUACAUGGCACCAUCUCUGAAUGGACGGAAGCCUGCAAUUCCACAGAAUGGGAUCAGCAGUUAGACCUCUUCUAGGCACAGAUGGAUACAUACGCUGACACCAACUAAGGCUCUGGGUGUCCAUCUACCUGCUCAGAAGCCUUGUUACAUGAAAAGUACCUCCCCGAUAUAAACAGUACGUCUUUUUUUUUUCUUUUGAGACGGAGUCUUGCUCUGUCACCCAGGCUGGAGUGCAGUGGUGAGAUCUCGGCUCACUGCAAGCUUUACCUCCCAGGUCGACGC